CCCCGACAACAGGGGCGUGUCCUUGGCUAAGGGGCGUGUCCCCGGCACCAGGGGGCGUGUCCCGGCCCGUGUCAGUCUCUCUGCUGUUCACAGGCGCGUGGCCGUUGCAGUGGCGGCGCCGCCCCCUCCCCCAUAGCGCCGCGCGGAGGCCCCCGAACGCGACAGCCCCACUGGAAUGGCUGGCUCCUGCUCUGAUGUGAAGUCCUAGAAUGGGCAAUGAGGGUCACCUCCCAUCCACUGAGGGCUGCUGCUGGAGCACAAAGCCAGACCAGCAGGGACAGGCGCUGCAGAUCCAGGACGACACCGUAAACAGAAGCGCGGUGGGUGCUAAAUGA
rnacentral:lncRNA from 1 species